AUGGCGAACGACGGGUCCCCCAAGUCCGGUGACAUCCCGCCCUACCCCGAGAUGAUUCUCGCGGCGAUCGAGGCGCUGGGCGACAAGAACGGCUCGAGCAAGUCCGCCAUCUCCAGCUACAUCGAGGAGAAGUACGAGGGCCUCCCCUCGGCGCACGCCUCCCUCCUCACGGCCAACCUCGCCAGCAUGAAGGAGGCCGGCAAGCUCGCCUUCGUCAAGAACAACUACCUCAAGGCUGACGCUCCCUCCGCCACCCCGGCAAAGCGCGGCCGCGGCCGCCCGCCUAAGGACCCUAACGCGCCGCCCAAGCCGAAGGCUGCGCCCAAGGACCCCAACACGCCCAAGCGCGGCCGGGGCCGCCCGCCCAAGGCUAAGGAUCCCAUGGCCGACGCCGUCAAGGAUGCCGUCGCCAAGGCGACCACCGGCAUGCCCCGGGGCCGCGGCCGCCCGCCGGGUCCCUCCUCGGCCAAGAAGGCCAAGGUCGCCAAGGAGGCUGCCUCUCCGGCUCCCGCGGACGGCUCCGCUCCUGCCAAGCGUGGCCGUGGGCGCCCACGCAAGGUGGCGGUGUGA
rnacentral:rRNA from 1 species